GGGCGGCUGGGCGAGCCGCUCUGAGCACCGCGAGCGCACUGCGCGGCUGCCGGCCCGCGCCCUUAACCCUUCGGUGCGCGCUGCCUGCCCGGGCUCCCGGCCCCCGGGGAAGCCGGCGCGUUUCCCCAAGACCGGCCCGGGAUCCGCGGCCGCGGGGCGGGAGGGGAGACCCAAGCCGGAGGGGACAGUUCUUCCAGGUUUGGGAAAGGGGCGGGGAGCUGAAGCGAUGAGAUCCGGAAAUCUGCUCUGGGUCUGGAUCUGCCCAGCUCCGACCCGGGUAGACGACCCGCGCACCUCUCUCGCCGCCCAUUCAGGAUCACUAAUUUCAUCGGAAAUGAGGUAACCAGUGCAGGAGACAGAGAAAGCAAAUCGAGCAUCAAAUGGCAGUUCUCGUGAAUCCACGCUAAAGGACUUCCUCUGGACUCAAUUCCUAAGUGCGGUUCUCAACCCCUCACCACCCCGCCCCUCCGCAGGUACCACCGCCGAGAGUUAGCUCGAACGGGGGAGGGGUGGUACCUGGCCAACAGGUGUAGCGCCUGGAAAGAAGAGAAGGUUCAUCCACGCUAAAGGGAGCUCAGUGCGCCUUCUGCGGGCUGCAGAUAAUUCUGGAAAGACCGCACUGCAUUUCAGAAGGGCCCUGAUGCUCACACCAAUCUGCAUUAUCACUGCCAGGAGAAGACUCUGGAAGGCGAGCACGGGGGUCUUGAGGAUGAAGGUUUUCUUUCUGGCAGCAGAGGGAGCACGAGAGUACUUAAUCAAGCAAGUGUACAGGCCCUCCCAGUCGUAAGGGAUUUUUAAUUGUAGCAUAUGUCUUCAUGGGAAGUAGCCUCUUUCAUCGUUCACAACAAAACCAAACAAAGACAAGCGAACGCAAACAGCUUACCAGCUUGUAACGACGAAAUAACCAAAUGGAUCGGACGUUAAAUAGACUAUAGUUUUAGGCUUGGCUUCGUAAAAGAAAGUGGACCUCAGCAGUCCUAUUUGAAAAAGAUGCCUUGUUUUUCUGCAAUGAAAAUUAAAGUUUGCCCAACCCAGAGGAAAGCAAGUAAGAGUCGCUCCUGUUUAUACAAAAGCCUGGGGGCCGGUCGACCCCAAUACUGCAUCAGAUAAGUUCAUUUCAUUUGGAGUCAAAUCUGUUGGUGAAGGGAUAUGUACCUUCUCACCAUGUUUAUUUUCACAGUAACUUUAGGGCUUAAUCUUUCAUGUUUGCCGUGGGGAGGAUUUAUGCUUCAGUUACAUGUAUAUAAUUUUUCAUGCUUUUUACAGCCCUCUCGGUUUGCAUUGUCAAGGGCUCCUGUGAGGUGGAUAAGACAUAGUAGAGCUCAGCCUCAAAAAAGUUUUGCAAGUGGCUUGUGCCUUCAUAGCCUUAGGUCAUUUCAUGAUAACAAUACUCCAUUGAGGUGUUCAGAAAUGAGGGAAAUUAUAGAGGUGAAAGAUCCAGCAGCAUGUUCUUUACAGUCUUAAAGGUUUUUCAAAAAAGUUAAUAUGUGGUGAAUAUUUAAAUAAGGGGCAUAUGGAUAGGGACAGACUGAAUUGCCAACCUCCUUUUUUAUAUGUUUAUCACUUGUUUAUCAGUAGCCAUUCAUUGUGCUUCUACCAUAACUAGGCCGCGAGAAUGUAAAGACAUUCCCAUCUGCUGUGAGGAAUUCACAGCAAAACAAAUCUUAUUUUUUGGAAAAAUGUCCAUUUUUACCAGGAUGAAACUUAAAGGUUCAUAGUUGAUGGAGCCAGCCCUUCUCAAAUCAUUAUACUGAUCAGACUUACAAAUAUGAGAAUCAAAUUCUAGAAUCAUUGCAAAUUUGGGUGCUGGGAGGGCAACUGUGUAACUCUUCAGCAGAAUGUAUUCACCGAGGUAAUAUUAAUGUUUCACAUCUGUAAAACAAACACAAUGUAAAGAUAUAACAUGUAUUUUCUGAAGGCCUUCUAUAUCAAAACACAUCACAAGUAAAUUUAAGUGAGAAGCACUUAUUUAUCUCUCCUUAAAAAUUAUUAAAAAGGAAGUUCCCAUCAUGGUGCAGCAGAAAGGAAUCCGACUAGGAACCAUGAGGUUGCUGGUUCAAUCCCUGGCCUCACUCAGUGGGUUAAGGAUCUGGCGUUGCCAUGAGCUGUGGUGUAGGUCGCAGAUGAGGCUCGGAUUCUGUGUUGCUGCAGCUGUGGUGUAGGCCGGCAGCUGCAGCUCCCAUUCGACCCCUAGCCUGGGAACCUCCAUAUGCCUUUACAAAAAAAAAAGGAGUUCCUGUUGUGGCUCAGGGGUUAACAAAUCCGACUAGGAACCAUGAGGUUGCAGGUUUGAUCCCUGGCCUUGCUCAGUGGGUUAGGGAUCUGGCGUUGCCGUGAGCUGUGGUGUAGGUGGCAGAUGCAGCUCGGAUCCCACGUUGUUGUGGCUCUGGCGUAGGCUGGUGGCUACAGCUCCGAUUGGACCCCUAGCCUGGGAACCUCCAUAUGCCGCAGGAGCGGCCCAAGAAAUGGCAAAAAGACAAAAACAACAACAACAAAAAAAUUAUUAAAAAGAAUUUCCUCCUAUGCUAGAGAAAGAUUUGCCUGGAGCAAUUUGUUAUGGCUGGGUAAUAAAUCCAAAGAUUUGAAUUUUUAAUGGAAACACUGACAGACCUUUAACCAUGGUAUUAUAAGGAAGAUAUUAUCCCACACAUGUCAUUUAAAAAUCCGAGCAAAUGACAGUGUGCUUGCAAAACCAAUAUACUUUCUUUAGACUGCACUGACAAAUAAAGCUAGAGACACCAGAAAAGUAAAAUAAACUAAAAACAAAAGUGAAAACCACUCACACAAUAGACUCUGAGGUCAGCUCACCACACCCAGACUGAAGUCACUGGCCUCUGUUUGUGGCACAGAGACUCUUAAAGUACAUACUUCUGAAUCAUCUUUCUUGACCCUCCACCAAACUGUAGCAGCAUAGGCUUCUGGGUAAUGAAAAUGACAUCACCACUAGUCAAGAGUGAAAUUAAAAUCAUUGUACUUAAACAUCUGCCAACAGUUUAUGAUGUAACAGUACACACAGUAGGGAAUUUUAAAUAAGAUUCUGUCUACAAUUAAAACCAAAAACAAGUGCUUUCAGAUAGGUCUGCACUGUUCAAUAUGACUUCAGCCAUUGAGAUGUGUUAUACGUGUAACAUACACUUUAAAUGUCAGACUUAGAACAUACACACAAAUGCACAAGUGUACACAUAUACAGGUAUCUCAAGAAUUUUCGUAUCGAUUAAAAUGAAAAUAUUCUGCCUAAGUCAGGUUAAAUAAAAUAUACCGUUAAAGUU
rnacentral:lncRNA from 9 species